rnacentral:lncRNA from 1 species
CGUAAAUGUAAUCUAUGCCGUGCUCCGGUAUGGUUUUGCAUACUCUGCAGCUUCCUUGGCGUAUAAAGUGAUUGCACCGUACCUUUUUGGCCAAUCGCCACCACGCCUAGAAACUGACUGCGGUCUUGACGUGCUCACCGUUGGAAUCGAUGAAUCCUGGAGGCACGUUGAGGUUCACCACCUCCCCGACCAUUUCAGGCCAUUUUUGUUCUUCAUGGAUCCCUUGACUAGUGAAGGUUUCGUGCAUUGGGGAAGGGGGAGAUACUGCGCGACGAUGGAUGUGGAGACGGAGAUCAUUACACUGAGUGAAGCCCCUCAUCAGUACCAUGAAAACAACUAUAAAUAUCUGUCGACUGGGAGGUGUCUGUCUCUCCUGGUAGCGUGUGGGGAUCUGUCGUGGGAGGUUUGGGAGAUGAAGGCAGAGACGGGCGAGUGGAGGAAGGCGCUGCCCAACGUCGACUUGGGAGCUAAGAAAUGCAUGAUUCAACAGCUUGCUCCUAAAGAUGCUCCUCGAGUUCUUGUGCCACUUGGUUGGGUUAACUAUCCACAGGUUUUGGCCUUCUAUUUUGGCGAAGAUAUUUAUCAUGGGUGCCAAUGGCGGCCUUUCAUUUUCUACAAUCUUGAUACGCAUAAACUCUACUCCAUAGAGCUUCCACAAUCCAAUAUUAGUGAGUAUGGGGCUUUUCCGCAUAAGAAUAAUCUGACAUGGCUAAGCUAAAAGAGUAUUAUUGUUUAUAUUUGGUUUAAGUUAAAAGAAUUUAUAUAUUUUGGGGCAAUUUUAAAAAAUAUUUUAUGAUGUUUAUUUCUUCAAGACGCAUCAGCUCAUGUUGUCCAAAUAUUUUAUUUUAGUGAAAGAGUAGUAGUGUUGAAGGAGAUAGAAUAUUUAUAAUCACUUUUGAAUGGACACCUAUAACAAUCACAUUGCUAUUGGAUUACAAAUCAGCGUAUAUUCUGUUUGAGAAUAUUUUGAAUGAAAUUAUGUAAUACAAGCUCAAAAGUAAGGUAAAGUCAUUUUUGCAAUAACUCGUAUACACUACCCAUUGUCAAACACGCCAAAAAUGGGGUUAGAUCCAUCUGCUACAAAAUCUUAGGCAACGUGGUUUUGUUCGCAAAUUAGGCAAACAAGUAAUUUCUUUGUACAAUACAUUAUUCAUUUUAGACUUAGUGCAUGUUUGGUUCAAGUAGAGGAAUUGAAAGAGAAUGGAAUCAAAUAGAGGAGUGGAAUGGUUUUAAUAACUAUUACUUUUAUUGAGUGUUUGGUUUAACCAUGGAAAUGAAUCAUUAGUAAGGGAUUCCCUUUCCUUUUGUUUUCCCUCUAUUUUGAGGGAUAAUAAAUUAGGUGAUUGGGUUACCCUCAAGUCAGGGUAAUGGUUAACUCAUCACCCAAACCAAACAUUGAGUAAUGGAUUCAAUUAAUUGAUUCCCUUUCCAAUCUCUAAAAACACCCAACCAAACGUGGGCUAAUAGUGCUAUGCUAUGUAUGUAGAUCCAUAUGUUGUUGCUAGGAAGCACCGGUACGUUUUUGGGUGAAGCGUCCUGGUAUUAAUACCAAAAAAUACCAAGACGUUAAAAAUACGCCUAAACGAUGUAUUUAAUACGUUUUUUCGUAUUUUUUUUAAACUUACUUUUAGGGUUGGGAAAUGCGUAUUUAAUACGUUCUCGAGACGUUUUUUGACUAAAAAAUACGUCUGACCAGAUUUAAAAAAAAAAGAAAAAAAAAGAAAAAAAGAAGAAAACCAGACCCACUCUCAUUUCUCUCGUAAACCUUCACCCACCCUGCGCAAGAAGACAAGGCAGCGCCGUUCUCCGCCACCGAUCUGGACCGCCGCCUUCUGGACUGCCGUAAUUGCUAAGAUUAUCUAAUUUUUGUGGGUAUUUAACGUAAGACAUCAGUGGGUAUUUUUUGGAAUUGAAUCUUUGAUUUGUGUGAGGUAGGGUGAGUGGGUUAACUAAUACUCCCUCCGUCCCAUUGGGCUUGUCCUAUUUGGUUUCGGCACGGUUAUUAAGGAGAGUAGUAGUAGUGUUAAGUGUGUAGAUAAAGUAGGAGAGAGAAGGUGAUAAAGUAGGAGAGAGAAAGUGAUAAAGUGAUAAAGUAUGAGUGUUAUUUAUAGAAAUGAGACAAGAUGGUGGGACAAACAAAAAAGAAAUACGGGACAAGAUCAAUGGGACGGAGGGGGUAAUUGAUUGUUUAUUGCUAUUGGGGUAUAUUGGCGGUGGGUAUGGGUGAGUGGGUUAAUUAAUAAUUGAUUGUUUAUUGCUAUUGGGGUAUAUUGGCGGUGGGUAUAUUAAUAUUGGGGUGGGUAGCAGAUUGCCUAAUUAGGCUAAUUUGUGAACUAACUUCUAAGUUUUAAUAAUUAAGUACUCCCUCCGUCCCAUUAUUCAUGACACGUAUUCCUUUUUGGGUUGUCCCAACCUACAUGACACAUUUCCUUUUUUGGAAAAAAUCAGGGGGCAUUUAAGCAUUAAUAUAUUCGCUAAUUAUCCACCUAAUCACUAAUUAUCCACCUAAAACUCAUUUCCUACUUCUUCUUCUCUCUCUCCUUCCCCCACCUACCAGCCGCCUCCCUUCUCUUCUAAAAUUCUCGGCCACCACCGCCCGUCGAUCUGCCGGCCACCACCGUCAUUUCCUCUCUUCCUCUAUUCUCAGUUUCUCACGCACCCACUCAACCAGUGAACCCAAAUCCUAAGUCUUCGCUCGUCGCCUCCACUUUUCUCUCUCCGUUGAAGAGCGCCGCCGCCGGCUUCGCUCUCCCCUCUCUCGCCAAAUUUUUCCGCUCGAUUCCCGGUGACGACAGCCAACCUCCGCCGCGCCCAAGCCCCUGCCUCCCUCUCUGAUCACUCCAUCGUGCCUCCUCCGUCGUCGACGAAAUCUUCAGCCCCACCGCCAGGAGACGCAGCAGCGGCGCGGUCCGCCUCCACCCUCGGCGUAGCCCCUUUCCGCCUCCACUCUAGUUUCUGGAUUAUCAAUUUUUGUCUUCAAUACUUGGGUUUCAAUGUUUGUGGGUAGAUCUGGUUUUGAUAUUUGUUUCGAUUUUGAUAUGGUGAUUGGGUUACUCGGUAUCAAGGAAACUCAUGACUACACGAUGUAUUUAAGUCAUUUCACGUUAAUUUUACCAAAGAAGAAUUUAUAGUUUGAGAAUGCUUCCCAAGGAAGGUUCAACUUCAAGCACUCACACCCUCCACCGUCAGGUGUUGUUUGGCUUGACGUAGCUAUCAAAUUGAGAUGUUGAUGUUGAGGUCAAUUGUGAAUUCUAAACAAGGCUACUAUUGUUGCUCAAUAUGGAAGGUAUCAAAUUUCGUUCUAUUUUAUGCUAAUGUUAUUCGAAAGAUGGAAAUUUUAGAGUUGUGUUUUGAUUUAUUCCAUUAAAAUUUUAGAGUUAAUUUAUUUAAAUUUUAUAAAUAAUUCAUCAAAGUCGGCAUUAAUUUGACCACCAAAAAAUUUGUGUUAAAAUUAUUCUGUUAAAAAAGUUAAUGUAUUUUUUUGUCGUAUUAAAAAUUAAAAUUCUUCCAAAGUUUAUAUCCGCCAAUUAAAAAGAAAGAAAAAAAAAGUUCGCUUGUAUUUACAUUUGGAUUUGGGCGGAAACUGCUGCAUUUAUUUGGACCCACACCCACCGCUUGUAAUAAUUCAUUUACUCCGCCGCCGCGUUCUACACAAUUCACCGGAAAUCGAAAAGUUGAAAUGCUUCGUCCGAAACUAGCCUCCCGCAAGCCGCCACCUCCACGGCGUUGCUGCACCGACGGCAGCGUUUCGGAUCCCCAUUCCGACAUUCUUAGUAGAGAUUCGGUAAGCACUCUCCCUUAUAUUUCAUAUGCAGAUGCCUCUCUUUCAAAAUUAGGUUACACCUCAAAUUCCUUAAUUAUGCGUAUACAUUUCAUAGAAAAGGUUUUUUUAUUUGAAAUUUAGGUUAGAGAUUAGUAUAAAAAGACAUUGAUAUGCAUAUGGCUGUCUUAUUCUCUGCAUUUAAGUUUUGGACAGAUAAAACACAUUUAUACAAAUUAGUGAAUUGGUUAGUCGAUUGAUUAGUAGAGUGAUGAUGUUGUACCAAAACAAAAAUUUGUUUAAUAGCCGUCUUACUCUCUGCAUUUCAAAUAUUUAGCUUAAAUUUGGGGCAGAUAAAACACUUGUAUACAAAUUAGUGAAUUGGUUAGUCGAUUGAUUAGUAGAUGAGACAUAUUUGCAGAUGAGACAUAUUUAUGACAAUAUCUGUAUUCAACAAGCAGAUGAUAUACAUUAGAAGUCGGGCUUAUUAUUCCCGGAGGUGUAAAAAGGGGAUGCCAACAAACAUAGAGUCCCUCCCCACAGAGCUAUUGAUUGAAAUCCUCCUCCGAUUGCCGGCCGGUCAUCUCUACGAGAGAGCGAGGCUCGUCUGCCGGCGGUGGUACCACAUUAUCCAUUCUCAUGCCUUCAUCAACACGCAGAUUCACGGUGCUACCUAUGGCCUCCUUUUAUCACCCCCAAACUGGAUUAUUACUCUGCCACUUUAUGUAACAGCCGACGCAGACGGUGGAAUUCACACAGCUAAGAUAACUCACCUCUCCAAAUCGAGAGUUGUUGCUACCUGCAACGGUUUGGAGUUGGAAGCCAAAGGUUACCAAUUCCCUCGUCUUGUGAUUGUGAAUCCUGCAACGAAGCAGUCAUUCCACCUCCCACCAUUGCCUACAGGCGUAAAUGUAAUCUAUGCCGUGCUCCGGUAUGGUUUUGCAUAUUCUGCAGCUUCCUUGGCGUAUAAAGUGAUUGCACCGUACCUAGAAACUGACUACGGUCUUGACGUGCUCACCGUUGGAAUCGAUGAAUCCUGGAGGAACGUUGAGGUUCACCACCUCCCCGACCAUUUCAGGCCAUUUUUGUUCUAUAGGGAUCCCUUGACUAGUGAAGGUUUCGUGCACUGGGGAAGGGGGAGGUACUGUGUGACGAUGGAUGUGGAGACGGAGAUCAUUACACUGAGUGAAGCCCCUUGUGAGUACCAUGAACGCGACUAUUAUUAUCUGUCAACUGGGAGGUGUCUGUCUCUCCUGGUAGCGUGUGGGGAUCUGUCGUGGGAGGUUUGGGAGAUGAAGGCAGAGACGGGCGAGUGGAGGAAGGCGCUGCCCAACGUCGACUUGGGAGCUCAGAAAUGCAGGAUUCAACGUUUAGCUCCUAAAGAUGCUCCUCGAGUUCUUGUGCCACUUGGUUGGGUUAACUAUCCACAGGUUUUGGCCUUCUAUUUUGGCGAAGAUAUUUAUCAUGGGUGCCAAUGGCGGCCUUUCAUUUUCUACAAUCUUGAUACGCAUAAACUCCACUACAUAGAGCUUCCACAAUCCAAUACUAGUGAGUAUGAGGCUUUUCCGCAUAAGAAUAAUCUGAUAUGGCUAAGCUAAAAGAGUAUUAUUGUUAGUAUUAUUGUUUAUAUUUGGUUUAAGUUAAAAGAACUUAUAUAUUUUGGGGCAAUUUUAAAAAAUAUUUUAUGAUGUUUAUUUCUUCAAGACGCAUCAGCUCAUGUUGUCCGAAUAUUUUAUUUUAGUGAAAAGAGUAGUAGUAUUGAAGGUGAUAGAACAUUUAUAAUCACUUUUGAAUGGACACCUAUAACAAUCACAUUGCUAUUGGAUUACAAAUCAGCG